rnacentral:misc_RNA from 1 species
GGAAUGUUGAAUUACAUAUAUAUGUCUUCUGCAUCUGUUAUAUUAGUCCUCUAAUUAGUACAUAAAUGUACAUAUAGUGAGAGAUGAUAAUAAAGUUUUAGGUCAUGGUUUAUGGUUUUUCUAUUAAGGUUUGAAGUUAACAUGUUAAACGAAAGCUGUUGAAGCAGAGUUUGUCAUCAUUAAUGGCCUCCAACAGCCUCUCUCUCAUGAGAAAAGAAAAUGGAAAGCAAGAGGAUUA